AAACUACUGACUGAUGAUGGCAA
rnacentral:piRNA from 1 species